rnacentral:hammerhead_ribozyme from 1 species
AUCGAGCUGAGGUGUCCCGAAUAGGACGAAACGCGUGUCGUGGAU